CCUACGGGAGGCAGCAGUGGGGGAUAUUGCACAAUGGGGGGAACCCUGAUGCAGCGACGCCGCGUGGGUGAAGAAGCGCCUCGGCGCGUAAAGCCCUGUCAGCAGGGAAGAAAAUGACGGUACCUGAAGAAGAAGCCCCGGCCAACUACGUGCCAGCAGCCGCGGUAAUACGUAGGGGGCAAGCGUUUGCCGGAUUUACUGGGUGUAAAGGGGGCGCAGGCGGCGAUGCAAGCUAGGAGUGAAAGCCCGGGGCCCAACCCCGGGACUGCACAUGGAACUGGGUGGCUGGAGUGCAGGAGGGGCAGGCGGAAUUCCUGGUGUAGCGGUGGAAUGCGUAGAUAUCAGGAGGAACACCAGUGGCGAAGGCGACCUGCUGGACUGCAACUGACGUUGAGGCCCGAAAGCGUGGGGAGCAAACAGGAUUAGAUACCCCGGUAGUC
rnacentral:rRNA from 1 species